GGGAAAAUAACUCAGUGGUUAGAGUGUUGGCCUGUCACGCCAAAAGUCGCGGGUUCGACUCCCGUUUUUCUCG
rnacentral:tRNA from 1 species